UCCGGUUUAUCACCGGCAGUCUCCUUAGAGUUCCCGGCCGAACCGCUGGCAACUAAGGACAAGGGUUGCGCUCGUUACGGGACUUAACCCAACAUCUCACGACACGAGCUGACGACAGCCAUGCAGCACCUGUGUCCAGGUUCCCGAAGGCACUUCUCCAUCUCUGGAGAAUUCCUGGCAUGUCAAGGGCAGGUAAGGUUUUUCGCGUUGCAUCGAAUUAAACCACAUGCUCCACCGCUUGUGCGGGCCCCCGUCAAUUCAUUUGAGUUUUAGCCUUGCGGCCGUACUCCCCAGGCGGUCAACUUAUCGCGUUAGCUGCGCCACAAAGAGCCAGAUGCUCCCUACGGCUAGUUGACAUCGUUUACGGCGUGGACUAC
rnacentral:misc_RNA from 1 species